AGAGUUUGAUUCUGGCUCAGAACGAACACUGGCAGCGUGGAUUAGGCAUGCAAGUCGAACGGGAAUCUACUGGUUCAAUUCUUCGGGAGAGAACUGGCAGAGGAGAGUGGCGGAAGGGUGAGUAACGCGUGGGUAACCUGCCUCUAAACUGGGGAUAACCCUCCGAAAGGGGAGCUAAUACCGAAUGUGGUUGUCCUUCGCAUGAAGGGUGGACCAAAGGUGGGGAUCUGCUUCGGCAGACCUGUCGUUUAGAGAGGGGCCCGCGUCCCAUCAGCUUGUUGGUGAGGUAAUGGCUCACCAAGGCGAACGGGUAGCUGGUCUGAGAGGAUGGUCAGCCACACUGGGACUGAGACACUGCCCAGACUUCUACGGGAGGCUGCAGUCGAGGAUCAUUGCAGUGCGCGAAAGCGUGACAAUGCGACGCUGCGUGGAGGAUGACGGCCCUUGGGUUGUAAACUCCUGUCAAUCGGGAAAAACGGUUGGGGUGUGGAUAGUGCCCUGACGUGAUGGUACCGGAGGAGGAAGCCACGGCUAACUCUGUGCCAGCAGCCGCGGUAAUACAGAGGUGGCGAGUGUUGUUCGGAUUUACUGGGCGUAAAGGGUGCGUAGGCGGCUUCGUAUGUCGAAUGUGAAAUCCCAUUGCUCAACGGUGGAAUGGCAUUGAAACUGCGGGGCUUGAGUGCAGGAGGGGAGAGCGGAAUUCCUGGUGUAGCGGUGAAAUGCGUUGAGGUCAGGAAGAACACCGGUGGCGAAGGCGGCUCUCUGGAAUGCAACUGACGCUGAGGCACGAAAGCUGGGGGAGCAAACAGGAUUAGAUACCCUGGUAGUCCCAGCUGUAAACGGUGUGCACUUGGUGUGGGGGGUAUUGACCCCUCCCGUGCCGAAGCUAACGCGAUAAGUGCACCGCCUGGGGAGUACGGCCGCAAGGCUAAAACUCAAAGAAAUUGACGGGGGCCCGCACAAGCGGAGGAGCAUGUGGCUUAAUUCGAUGCAACGCGAAGAACCUUACCAGGGCUUGACAUGAUGACCCUUCGGGGGUGGGAGCGAAAGCUUCCUUCACGAUCACAGGUGCUGCAUGGCUGUCGUCGUUUCGUGCCGUGAGGUGUUGGGUUAAGUCCCGCAACGAACGCAACCCUUGUGUCUAGUUGCCACCGUGGGGCAACCUGCGAGCACUCUAGACAGACUGCCCGUACAAGCGGGAGGAAGGUGGGGACGACGUCAAGUCAGUAUGGCCCUUACGCCCUGGGCUGCACACGUGCUACAAUGGUCGGUACAGAGGGAUGCAAUACCGCGAGGUGGAGCAAAUCCUUAAAACCGGCCUCAGUUCGGAUUGGAGUCUGAAACUCGACUCCAUGAAGUUGGAUUCGCUAGUAACGGCGCAUCAGCUACGGCGCCGUGAAUACGUUCCCGGGCCUUGUACACACCGCCCGUCACAUCAUGAAAGCCGUCUGCACCCGAAGUCGCUGUUCCAACCCGCAAGGGAGGUAGGCGCCGAAGGUGUGGGUGGUGAUUGGGAU
rnacentral:rRNA from 1 species